GACGAACCGUGCGAACGUUGUUCGGAAUCACUGGGCAUAAAGGGCGCGUAGGCGGCUUAUCAAGUCAGGGGUGAAAUCCGGCAGCUCAACUGUCGAAGUGCCUUUGAUACUGAUGAGCUCGAGGGAGGUAGGGGUCUGUGGAACUUCCGGUGGAGCGGUGAAAUGCGCAGAUAUCAGGAAGAACACCCGUGGCGAAAGCGGCUCUCUGGAACGGUACUGACGCUGAGACGCGAAAGCGUGGGGAGCGAACAGG
rnacentral:rRNA from 1 species